GUCUAAUUGGAAAAGAUUGCUUCAUGAGGAAAUGAAUUCUAGAAGUCUUCAAGAAGAAAUAGAGAAUAUAAUCUUGGGGGAAGGAGAACCAAAAACCUUGUAACUGAUUGACUUUCAGCCAACUGGCUAUUAUUACAUGGAAGAAAGAUCUGUACUUGAAAAGCAAUUCCGAGGAAUGAGACUUAUUCCCCUCUGUGCAGAUUUUGCUGUCUAGAUGUCUGGUUUCUCCUCCUGCUUUUGAGUCUCCAG
rnacentral:lncRNA from 1 species